UCCACGUGUCCACUUCAAUCCCUAAGUAGGACAGGACUCCCACCGGACCCACCGUCUUCUCAGCUGCUAUCGGCACACCAAAAUCCGCAGCGACGGCCCGAAAGGAAUCCAAGAGCCCCACGCAGUCAUCCGACUCCCGCGGGCCCACAAACAAAAAAUCGUCAAGGUAAUGAGUUAGGGACUCUAUCCCCGCAACCUGAGCGACCACCCAUUCCAAAAACGAUGCAAACAUUUCAAAGUAAGAACAAGAUAUAGCGCAGCCCAUAGGCAAACACAUAUCAAAGAAAAAGGAACCUUGAAACCGACAACCCAACAGGUGAAAACAAUCCGGGUGGACCGGGAGCAGGCGAAAAGCCGACUCGAUGUCCGACUUCGCCAACAGAGCUCCCUUCCCUGCCUCCCGGACCAACUCUAAUGCCCGAUCAAACGAGGCGUAACGAACAUGUGAUUCUUCCUUGUCAAUGUCAUCAUUCACCGACCCACCCGAGGGAUAGGACAAGUGGUGAAUGAGACGGAAGGAUCCAGGCUCUUUCUUAGGAACUAACCCCAGCGGGGAUACCCGCAAAUUGGGAAAUGGAGGCGAGUCAAACGGACCCGCCAUCCUGCCCAAACAAACUUCCUUCCUCAACUUAUCCUCUAAGAUAGACUCUUUACCCACCACCGAACGCAGGUUAUCUGCCAGGGAAGGGGAAUCCGAACGAACAAACGGAAUCCAAAACCCUGUCGAAAACCCCUCUAGCAGAACCCCUGCAUCCUUACGCUUGGGAUACCGGUCGAGCCAAGGGCGCAUCCUUAGCACGCUCACCGGAGUCCUCCCCUCUAGGGAGAUCCUCCCUAUUGGAUCUUCCACCAUGCUUGCCCUUCUUGAAACAGCGCAGCGCAGGGUGGG